rnacentral:rRNA from 1 species
GUUCAAGCAGCCGCGGUAAUACGGAGGGUGCGAGCGUUGUUCGGAAUUACUGGGCGUAAAGCGCGUGCAGGCGGCCGAUUAAGUCCGGUGUGAAAGCCCGGGGCUCACCCCCGGAAGUGCGCUGGAAACUAGUCGGCUAGAGUACGGGAGAGGGAAGCGGAAUUCCUGGUGUAGCGGUGAAAUGCGUAGAUAUCAGGAGGAACACCGGCGGCGAAGGCGGCUUCCUGGACCGAUACUGACGCUGAGACGCGAAAGCGUGGGGAGCAAACAGGAUUAGAAACCCUCGUAGUCC